GACGAACGCUGGCGGCGUGCUUAACACAUGCAAGUCGAACGGUGAAGCACCUUCCUUUUGGUGGGUGUGGAUGAGUGGCGAACGGGUGAGUAACACGUGAGUAACCUGCCCCCUUCUUCUGGAUAACCGCAUGAAAGUGUGGCUAAUACGGGAUAUUCUGUGCCUGCUGCAUGGUGGGUGUGGGAAAGAUGCGCUUUUGGGUGUUUUUGGUGGGGGAUGGGCUCGCGGCCUAUCAGCUUGUUGGUGGGGUGAUGGCCUACCAAGGCGGUGACGGGUAGCCGGCCUGAGAGGGUGGACGGUCACACUGGGACUGAGACACGGCCCAGACUCCUACGGGAGGCAGCAGCGGGGAAUAUUGCACGAUGGGCGCAAGCCUGAUGCAGCGACGCCGCGUGAGGGAUGGAGGCCUUCGGGUUGUAAACCUCUUUCGCCAGUGAAGCAGGCCUGUCCCUUGUGGGUGGGUUGACGGUAGCUGGAUAAGAAGCGCCGGCUAACUACGUG
rnacentral:rRNA from 1 species